rnacentral:misc_RNA from 1 species
AAGUCGUAACAAGGUAACCGUAGGUGAACCUGCGGUUGGAUCAUUACUGAUUACUGUUUCCAAGGUCGAGACCUAGUCUCUCUUGCAAACUUUUCACACUUUGUGCACCGAGAUUGUAUUUUGGGCUGUUGUUUCGGCAGUAGCCCAGCAUUUUAAACCACUUUAAAUUACUCUGAUAUUUUUGUAUAAAAAAUAACAACUUUUGACAACGGAUCUCUUGGCUCUC